rnacentral:rRNA from 1 species
CUUCGUGCCCAUAGCGGCGUGGACCCACCCGAUCCCAUCCCGAACUCGGAAGUUAAGCACGCCAGCGCCAAUGGUACUCGGGAGGCAGCUCCCCGGAAGAGUAGGACAGCGCGAAGA